GGGUCAUCAUUUCUAGAUGGUUACAUUAAUUGGUAUAGAAAGUUUUUUCUAUGCUACCAACUUAGGUUCAAACCUGUGGGGUCACACGCAUUAGAAGAUUUGAUCAGAUCUGAUGGCUGAAGAGUCCAAUUGGAUUGUGACUCUGGUGAAGAGUCCUACUUGGACUAAGACUCUAUGGGAGAGUCCCAUUAGGUUAGGGACUCUAUCAUUUAUAAAGAAUUAAUCA
rnacentral:lncRNA from 1 species